UUUUAAUUGAAGGCUUGUAUGAAGGGUCGGACAAAGGAUAAACUGUCUUUAAUCUUUCUUUUGAAUUUGUCUUUUAAGUGAAAAGACUUAAAUUAUUUUAAGGGACGAUAAGACCCUAUAAAGCUUUAUAUUAGUAUAAUUUUAUUUUAAUUUUUAAUGUUUAUAAAAAUAGAGGUAUAUAAUAUUAUAUUGGGGUGAUAAGAAUAAUUAAUAAACUGUUCUAUAAAAAACAAAGUUAUUUGUAGAAAUAAUAGAUCCUUUAUAUAGAUUAAAAGUUUAAGUUACUUUAGGGAUAACAGCGUUAUUUUUUUUGAGAGUUCUAAUCGAAAAAAAAGUUUGCGACCUCGAUGUUGAAUUAAAAUUUCUUUAUGGUGUAGCCGUUAUAAGAGAGAGUCUGUUCGACUUUUAAAAUUUUACGUGAUCU
rnacentral:rRNA from 3 species